UACGUAGGGGGCGAGCGUUGUCCGGAAUCAUUGGGCGUAAAGCGUGUGUAGGCGGUCCACUAAGUCGGGUGUGAAAGCCCUGGGCUCAACCCAGGAAGUGCACUCGAAACUGGCGGGCUAGAGUAUCGGAGAGGUUGGUGGAAUUCUCGGUGUAGAGGUGAAAUUCGUAGAUAUCGAGAGGAACACCGGUGGCGAAGGCGGCCAACUGGACGAAUACUGACGCUGAGACACGAAAGCGUGGGGAGCAAACAGG
rnacentral:rRNA from 1 species